rnacentral:rRNA from 2 species
GUUGGUGAUUUAACGGCAGGGUCACACCCGAUCUCAUUCCGAACUCGGAAGUUAAGCCUGCUAGUGGUGAUGGUACUUGUAAAGGGAGAGUAACUAGUCGCCAACA